GAUGAACGCUGACAGAAUGCUUAACACAUGCAAGUCGACUCGAGUCUUCGGACUUGGGUGGCGGACGGGUGAGUAACGCGUAAAGAACUUGCCUCAUAGUCUGGGACAACAUCUGGAAACGGAUGCUAAUACCGGAUAUUAUGCUUUCUUCGCAUGGAGGAAGUAUGAAAGCUAUAUGCGCUAUGAGAGAGCUUUGCGUCCCAUUAGCUAGUUGGUGAGGUAACGGCCCACCAAGGCGAUGAUGGGUAGCCGGCCUGAGAGGGUGAACGGCCACAAGGGGACUGAGACACGGCCCUUACUCCUACGGGAGGCAGCAGUGGGGAAUAUUGGACAAUGGACCAAAAGUCUGAUCCAGCAAUUCUGUGUGCACGAUGACGUUUUUCGGAAUGUAAAGUGCUUUCAGUCGGGAAGAAGCAAGUGACGGUACCGACAGAAGAAGCGACGGCUAAAUACGUGCCAGCAGCCGCGGUAAUACGUAUGUCGCAAGCGUUAUCCGGAUUUAUUGGGCGUAAAGCGCGUCUAGGCGGCAAGGAAAGUCUGAUGUGAAAAUGCGGGGCUCAACUCCGUAUUGCGUUGGAAACUGCCUUACUAGAGUACUGGAGAGGUAGGCGGAACUACAAGUGUAGAGGUGAAAUUCGUAGAUAUUUGUAGGAAUGCCGAUGGGGAAGCCAGCCUACUGGACAGAUACUGACGCUAAAGCGCAAAAGCGUGGGUAGCAAACAGG
rnacentral:rRNA from 1 species